rnacentral:rRNA from 1 species
GACGUAGGGCGCGAGCGUUGUCCGGAUUUAUUGGGCGUAAAGAGCUCGUAGGCGGCUUGUCGCGUCGACUGUGAAAUCCCGCGGCUCAACCGCGGGUCUGCAGUCGAUACGGGCAGGCUAGAGUUCGGUAGGGGAGACUGGAAUUCCUGGUGUAGCGGUGAAAUGCGCAGAUAUCAGGAGGAACACCGGUGGCGAAGGCGGGUCUCUGGGCCGAUACUGACACUGAGGAGCGAAAGCGUGGGGAGCGAACAGG